rnacentral:rRNA from 1 species
UGGGGAAUUUUGGACAAUGGGGGCAACCCUGAUCCAGCGACGCCGCGUGAAGGAUGAAGGUCUUCGGAUUGUAAACUUCUUUUGAUGGGGAUGAAUGCCCUGGUGAAUAGCCAGGGGUGACAGUACCCGUUGAAUAAGCCACGGCUAACUACGUGCCAGCAGCCGCGGUAAUACGUAGGUGGCAAGCGAUACUCGGAAUCACUAGGCGUAAAGCGCAGGUAGGCGGUUUGGUAAGUCUCUUGUGAAAGCUCCCGGCUUAACUGGGAGAGGUCAAGGGAAACUACCAGGCUAGAGUGUGGUAGGGGAUACUGGAAUUCCUGGUGUAGCGGUGAAAUGCGUAGAUAUCAGGAGGAAUACCUAUGGCGAAAGCAGGUAUCUGGGCCAUCACUGACGCUGAGCUGCGAAAGCUAGGGGAGCAAACAGGAUUAGAUACCCUGGUAGUCCUAGCCCUAAACGAUGCUCAUUAGAUGUGGGAGGUAUCGACCCCUUCCGCGUCGCAGCUAACGCAUUAAAUGAGCCGCCUGGGGAGUACGGCCGCAAGGU